CUUCUAGCAUUUACAGUAUUAGAGGCACUGCCUGCCCAGUGACAUAUGUUUAACGGCCGCGGUAUCCUGACCGUGCAAAGGUAGCAUAAUCAUUUGUUCCUUAAAUAGGGACUUGCAUGAAUGGCCAAACGAGGGUUUAUCUGUCUCUUACUUUUAAUCAGUGAAAUUGACCUUCCCGUGAAGAGGCGGGAAUAAACAAAUAAGACGAGAAGACCCUAUGGAGCUUAAAUUUAUUAGUCCAAAUAUACUGACAUUAAAUCUACAAGAAAUAAAAUCAUUAUUCAUGGACUAAAAAUUUUGGUUGGGGUGACCUCGGAGCAUAACUCAACCUCCGAAUGAUCUUAAUCUAGACUCUUAACCCGUCCAAAUUCCAAUUCAUAAAUUGACCCAAACCAUUGAUCAACGGAACAAGUUACCCUAGGGAUAACAGCGCAAUCCUACUCAAGAGUCCAUAUCGACAGUUAGGGUUUACGACCUCGAUGUUGGAUCAGGACAUCCAAAUGGUGCAGCAGCUAUUAAUGGUUCGUUUGUUCAACGAUUAAAGUC
rnacentral:rRNA from 1 species